UGGGGAAUUUUGGACAAUGGGCGAAAGCCUGAUCCAGCAAUGCCGCGUGUGUGAAGAAGGCCUUCGGGUUGUAAAGCACUUUUGUCCGGAAAGAAAUCCUUGGCUCUAAUACAGUCGGGGGGAUGACGGUACCGGAAGAAUAAGCACCGGCUAACUACGUGCCAGCAGCCGCGGUAAUACGUAGGGUGCAAGCGUUAAUCGGAAUUACUGGGCGUAAAGCGUGCGCAGGCGGUUUGCUAAGACCGAUGUGAAAUCCCCGGGCUCAACCUGGGAACUGCAUUGGUGACUGGCAGGCUAGAGUAUGGCAGAGGGGGGUAGAAUUCCACGUGUAGCAGUGAAAUGCGUAGAGAUGUGGAGGAAUACCGAUGGCGAAGGCAGCCCCCUGGGCCAAUACUGACGCUCAUGCACGAAAGCGUGGGGAGCAAACAGGAUUAGAUACCCUGGUAGUCCACGCCCUAAACGAUGUCAACUAGUUGUUGGGGAUUCAUUUCCUUAGUAACGUAGCUAACGCGUGAAGUUGACCGCCUGGGGAGUACGGUCGCAAGAUUAAAACUCAAAGGAA
rnacentral:rRNA from 1 species